GAAGUUGCGGAUUCAGAAUUGUGAUUCGUUAGAACAAAUUAUUGAGCUGCAAGGAGUCAUUGCUGAUGAGUCACAGUCAACAUCAGCUGCUCAAUCUAUUAUGGCUGAAACAGAGACGACCAAGUUUGUAUUUCCCAAACUAAUAAACCUCGGAUUGGAUAAGGUGCCGAGAUUGAAAAGUUUCUACUCUAGGAUGCAUACCACCCAGUGGCCUUUAUUGAAACAAAUGGACAUUAUUGAAUGCCCCAAAGUACAGAUAUUUACUCCACAAUGUCCUGAGAGUCAGGUUGGAAUCUCAAACCAACAACCCUUGUUU
rnacentral:lncRNA from 1 species